UGUGCCCAGAUGGGAUUAGCUAGUAGGUGGGGUAACGGCUCACCUAGGNGACGAUCCCUAGCUGGUCUGAGAGGAUGACCAGCCACACUGGAACUGAGACACGGUCCAGACUCCUACGGGAGGCAGCAUG
rnacentral:rRNA from 1 species